rnacentral:rRNA from 1 species
AACGAACGCUGGCGGCAGGCUUAACACAUGCAAGUCGAACGGUCUCUUCGGAGGCAGUGGCAGACGGGUGAGUAACGCGUGGGAAUCUACCCAGAUCUACGGAACAACAGUUGGAAACGACUGCUAAUACCGUAUACGCCCUACGGGGGAAAGAUUUAUCGGAUCUGGAUGAGCCCGCGUAAGAUUAGCUAGUUGGUGAGGUAAUGGCUCACCAAGGCGACGAUCUUUAGCUGGUCUGAGAGGAUGAUCAGCCACACUGGGACUGAGACACGGCCCAGACUCCUACGGGAGGCAGCAGUGGGGAAUAUUGGACAAUGGGCGCAAGCCUGAUCCAGCCAUGCCGCGUGAGUGAUGAAGGCCUUAGGGUUGUAAAGCUCUUUCAGUGGGGAAGAUAAUGACGGUACCCACAGAAGAAGCCCCGGCUAACUUCGUGCCAGCCGCCGCCGUAACAC